CGUCCUAUUAGCUAGUUGGUGAGGUAAUGGCUCACCAAGGCUACCAUGGGUAGGGGUUCUUAGUGGAAGGUCCCCCACACUGGCACUGAGAUACGGGCCAGACUCCUACGGGAGGCAGCGGUAGGGAAUCUUGGCCAAUGGGCACAAGCCUGAACCAGCCAUGCCGCGUGCAGGAUGAAGGCUCUCUGAGUUGUAAACUGCUUUUGUACAGGAGCAAAAAAAUCCCUGCGGGGGUUCUUGAGAGUACUGUAAGAAUAAGCACCGGCUAAUUCCGUGCCAGCAGCCGCGGUAAUACGGGAGGUGCAAGCGUUAUCCGGUUUUAUUGGGUUUAAAGGGUGCGUAGGCGGCUUAUUAAGUCAGUUGUGAAAUCCUAGUGCUUAACGCUAGAACUGCGAUUGAUACUAUU
rnacentral:rRNA from 1 species